ensembl:lncRNA
CAACGAUUUGAAUUGCAUAACAACACACAUGUUAUUAUACAUUUCAGAGAAGAUGACAUCAAAGAAGCACAGUGAGGGCAGAAGAUGAUGAGGUUUGACAGACAACUGCUAAGUCUGCGGCAAUGGAUAGCUGGAAAAGAUGUCCCACGACUGCAUGAUCUCAGAUGUGGAAGAAGAAAAGAAAUACUUCCCUGAUGCUCCGCAUUGCGAUGUUUGAUUAAUGUCAUUAUCCAUGAAGAUUUUCAGCUGAAGUUAUUGUUUUUGUUUCACUUGGCAUCUACAUUUGGGAAAGAGCCAAGGGAGGAAGUGACAAAUCCAUCAGCUUAAGAUGGGAAACCCUGUGGUUUCAGAGCUGCUCAUAUCUCAUUAGGAGCUGCUUUUCCCCUUGGCUCACAUCCUUUCUUGGGAUAGUUUCUCCCCUCACAUCAUUAAAAUAUACCAUCAGAAUGUUUACUCAUCAAAAACUGACUGGAAUAAGCCUAAUCUUGCCCACUAUGUAUACACCACCUUGUUUGCAGAGCACAAAAACCAGCAGUCCUUAAUGGGAUAUGGAGACUUGAGCAUAUGUUAAACAUAACC